UACGUAGGGGGCAAGCGUUGUCCGGAUUUAUUGGGCGUAAAGGGUGCGUAGGUGGCGCGGUAAGUCGGGUGUGAAAUUUCGGAGCUUAACUCCGAAACUGCAUUCGAUACUGCCGUGCUUGAGGACUGGAGAGGAGACUGGAAUUUACGGUGUAGCAGUGAAAUGCGUAGAGAUCGUAAGGAAGACCAGUGGCGAAGGCGGGUCUCUGGACAGUUCCUGACACUGAGGCACGAAGGCCAGGGGAGCAAACAGG
rnacentral:rRNA from 1 species